GUGGUUCCCCUUCAGGUUGGGAGAUUCCGAGCCCCUGGCGAGUAAGAACAAGGCGCACUGUACCUUCCUCUUUCACAAGCAUCCAGCUAUGGCCAACAGACCUGCUUCUUCCUUCCCGGCACUGCUGCUUGGUGCAGUGGUCUGAGCUGAGAUCCGCCCACCAAAGUCACUGGAUGGAAAGCUUUACCUCGCCAUAGAACACCCUGUGUCUUAUACUUCCUUCUAAGGUGGAUGCUCCAGGAAAUUGCUACACAAUGCUGGGUUAUAUGAUCUCAGCCGUGUAACAUCUGGAACAAAUCCUCAACGCCCAGACAUCACACUCACUUAAGUCAGGCAUCUUUAUUUCACAAGUCAAAGUGUCAGCAGACAAAAAGCCAAGCCUUCUGCAAGGAAUCUUCUCCCCAAAACCAUAGCACAUACAGAUCCCUCCAGUCUCCACCGCAUCCUUCUUUACCCACGUCAGCUUCCGGGCCAGUUACUCAAAGGCUGUAAAGUUCUGCUUGAGGACUAGGCUAGGUGUUACACAAUCCUUCCAUAAACUUUCUCUCCCACCCAA
rnacentral:lncRNA from 1 species